GCUGAGGAGUCCCAUACUAGGACGAAACGGCCGUCCAGUGC
rfam:Schistosoma haematobium scaffold564_15, whole genome shotgun sequence.